AUAAGGAAAGUGGCAAACGGGGUAGUAACAGGUAGGAACAUACCCAUGAGUCAUGAAUAACUGCAGGAAACUGUAGCUAAUACAUGAUAUCCCCACGGGGGAAAGAUUUAUCGCUCAUGGAAUGGCCUGCUUCGUAUCAGCUAGUUGGUAGUGUAAUGGACUACCAAGGCUAUGACGCGUAGGGGAGCUGAGAGGCUGACCCCCACCAUUGGAACUGCGACACGGUCCAAACUCCUACGGGAGGCUGCAGUCGAGAAUCUUCCGCAAUGCACGAAAGUGUGACGGAGCGACGCCGCGUGAUAGAUGAAGUCCUUCGGGAUGUAAAUAUCUUUUAUAAGUGAAGAAUUUUAUUGACAUUAACUUAUGAAUAAGAGGUUCCUAAACUCGUGCCAGCAGGAGCGGUAAUACGAGUACCUCAAGCGUUAUCCGGAAUUAUUGGGCGUAAAGGGUCCGUAGGUGGCCAUAUUAGUCAGAUGUGAAAGAUCCGAGCUCAACUCGGGGACCGCAUUCGAAACGGUAUGGCUUGAGUGUGCGAGAGGUAAACAGAACUCAUGGUGUAGGGGUGAAAUCCGUUGAUAUCAUGGGGAAUACCAAAAGCGAAGGCAGUUUACUGGCGCAUCACUGACACUAAGGGACGAAACCCUGGGUAG
rnacentral:rRNA from 1 species